rnacentral:rRNA from 1 species
GACGAACGCUGGCGGCGUGCCUAACACAUGCAAGUCGAGCGGUCCAGCACUCAAGCUUGCUUGGGUGCUGGGUAGCGGCGAACGGGUGAGUAACGCGUGGGUGACCUGCCCGGGAGACUGGGAUAACAGUUCGAAAGGGCUGCUAAUACCGGAUGAUCCCCAGCACUCAACCGAAGGAAUUAGGCUUGGUUUUAGAGGAAGCUUUCUUGUAGGUUCAAUGAGGUUUUUUCUAUGGUACAGCCUUGGUUUUUGGGUUGAGUGCUGGGGCAAAGCGUUUAGCGCUCCUGGAUGGGCCCGCGUCCCAUUAGCUAGUUGGUGGGUAAUGGCCUACCAAGGCGGCGAUGGGUAGCCGGUCUGAGAGGAUGGUCGGCCACACUGGGACUGAGACACGGCCCAGACUCCUACGGGAGGCAGCAGUGGGAAUUUGCGCAAGUGGGGGAACCCUGACGCAGCGACGCCGCGUGGGUGAUGAAGGCCGUUCGGUUGUAAGCCCUGUUGGGGGAAGGAGUAAUGACGGUACCCCG